AGAUUGAACGCUGGCGGCAUGCUUUACACAUGCAAGUCGAACGGCAGCACGGGGGCAACCCUGGUGGCGAGUGGCGAACGGGUGAGUAAUAUAUCGGAACGUACCCGGAAAUGGGGGAUAACGUAGCGAAAGUUACGCUAAUACCGCAUAUGCCCUGAGGGGGAAAGCGGGGAAUUCGUAAGAACCUCGCGUUUUCGGAGCGGCCGAUAUCGGAUUAGCUAGUAGGUGAGGUAAAGGCUCACCUAGGCGACGAUCCGUAGCUGGUCUGAGAGGACGACCAGGCCACACUGGAACUGAGACACGGUCCAGACUCCUACGGGAGGCGAGCAGUGGGGAAGUUUUGGACGAAUGGGCGCAAGGCCUGAUCCAGCCAUGCCGCGUGAGUGAAGAAGGCCUUCGGGUUGUAAAGCUCUUCAGACCGAAAGUAAACGCGACGGUUAA
rnacentral:rRNA from 1 species